GAUGAACGCUGGCGGCGUGCCUAAUACAUGCAAGUAGAACGCUGAAGGAAGGAGCUUGCUCUUUCCGGAUGAGUUGCGAACGGGUGAGUAACGCGUAGGUAACCUGCCUGGUAGCGGGGGAUAACUAUUGGAAACGAUAGCUAAUACCGCAUAACAGUAGAUGUUGCAUGAUAUCUACUUAAAAGGUGCAAUUGCACCACUACCAGAUGGACCUGCGUUGUAUUAGCUAGUUGGUGAGGUAACGGCUCACCAAGGCGACGAUACAUAGCCGACCUGAGAGGGUGAUCGGCCACACUGGGACUGAGACACGGCCCAGACUCCUACGGGAGGCAGCAGUAGGGAAUCUUCGUCAAUGGACGGAAGUCUGACCGAGCAACGCCGCGUGAGUGAAGAAGGUUUUCGAAUCGUAAAGCUCUGUUGUAAGAGAAGAACGAGUGUGAGAGUGGAAAGUUCACACUGUGACGGUAUCUUACCAGAAAGGGACGGCUAACUACGUG
rnacentral:rRNA from 1 species